AAAGUUAUAGUUAGGGCCCCUUUGGUAUUUCUGGAAUGAACCACUGGAGGAAAAUAAGGGAGGGUCAUGUCUUUUUAUUCAUUGUUAAGGGGAGGGUCAUCCAACUUUUUUUAGUCUAGGGGGGAGGGUCUCACCCAACUGUUUGUAUUCUUAGAAACAG